UGGGGAAUAUUGGACAAUGGGCGAAAGCCUGAUCCAGCCAUGCCGCGUGUGUGAAGAAGGUCUUCGGAUUGUAAAGCACUUUAAGUUGGGAGGAAGGGCAUUAACCUAAUACGUUAGUGUUUUGACGUUACCGACAGAAUAAGAACCGGCUAACUCUGUGCCAGCAGCCGCGGUAAUACAGAGGGUGCAAGAGUUAAUCGGAAUUACUGGGCGUAAAGCGCGCGUAGGUGGUUUGUUAAGUUGGAUGUGAAAGCCCCGGGCUCAACCUGGGAACUGCAUCCAAAACUGGCAAGCUAGAGUACGGUAGAGGGUGGUGGAAUUUCCUGUGUAGCGGUGAAAUGCGUAGAUAUAGGAAGGAACACCAGUGGCGAAGGCGACCACCUGGACUGAUACUGACACUGAGGUGCGAAAGCGUGGGGAGCAAACA
rnacentral:rRNA from 1 species